rnacentral:rRNA from 1 species
AUACGAAGGGUGCAAGCGUUAAUCGGAAUUACUGGGCGUAAAGCGUGCGUAGGCGGUUUUUUAAGUCUGCUGUGAAAUCCCCGGGCUCAACCUGGGAAUGGCAGUGGAUACUGGAAAGCUAGAGUGUGAUAGAGGAUGGUGGAAUUCCCGGUGUAGCGGUGAAAUGCGUAGAGAUCGGGAGGAACAUCAGUGGCGAAGGCGGCCAUCUGGAUCAACACUGACGCUGAGGCACGAAAGCGUGGGGAGCAAACAGGAUUAGAUACCCUGGUAGUCCACGCCCUAAACGAUGCGAACUGGAUGUUGGUCUCAACUCGGAGAUCAGUGUCGAAGCUAACGCGUUAAGUGCGCCGCCUGGGGAGUACGGUCGCAAGACUGAA